GGAGCAGUGGCAGCAGUUUGCCGAGACCAUACUGGGGCGUACAUAGGAUCGUCAGUCAUGGUGUACCGGGCAGUUACUGAUCCUAUGAUGCUAGAAACUUUUGCGUGCAGGGAAGGCCUGACCCUAGCAGAUGAUCUAAACAUUCAAAGCCUGGUGCUGGCGUCGGACUGCAAGAGCGUCGUGAAUGAUAUCAAUUCUGGCACGGGAGGACACCACUCGGCGGUUAUCCAUGAGAUACAAGAGCGUAGAGACAACUUUCUUCUAUGUAAUUGUGCACGAGCCUAG
rnacentral:rRNA from 1 species